UACGGGGGGAGCAAGCGUUGUUCGGAUUUACUGGGCGUAAAGGGCGCGUAGGCGGCGCAACAAGUCACUUGUGAAAUCUCCGGGCUUAACCCGGAGCGGCCAAGUGAUACUGUCGUGCUAGAGUGCGGAAGGGGCUACUGGAAUUCUCGGUGUAGCGGUGAAAUGCGUAGAUAUCGAGAGGAACACCUGCGGCGAAGGCGGGUAGCUGGGCCGACACUGACGCUGGAUGCGCGAAAGCCAGGGGAGCGAACGGG
rnacentral:rRNA from 1 species